rnacentral:tRNA from 1 species
UCCUUGGUGGUCCAGUGGCUAAGACUCUGUGCUCCUGAUGCAGGGGACCUAGGUUCAAUCCCUGGUGAAGGGA